AAAUAUAUAUAUAUGUAUAUACAUGAAUGUCAAGAUAUAAAGUUUUAAAUAUAGAAAUUAAGACUAUAGAGCACAGAAUAUAGACCAAAAUACAAAAUUGAGCCCAAAAUGAGCGACUUAAGCAAAGGCGAGUACAACCCUUGGAAAAAAGUGAAAGUUUUAAAAAAUAGUAACGUCGAAUAUUUAUUUUCGUAUAAUCUAAGUAGAGCAGUUAAGCAUAAAUUUGUUAGUUUUGCUUUGAAUUUAUUAUGUGUAAGUAAAAAAUAUGAUUUACUAUUCGUUUGUUAUGGUUCAUAUAUAUAUGUAUACGAGUUGAGUAAGUUCAUAAUAAAUAAUAAUGUUUACCUUAAUGAAAAAAAUGAUUAUGUAAAUUCGGACACUUUAAAAUUUUUUUAUAAAAAUGAUAUAGGUAAUAAGAAUGAUGGAUUUACAAAUAUUAAUAGAAUAAAACAUGCUUAUGAUGAAAUUAAAGUAGAUUUACAGUUUAAUUUAUUACAUACACCUACCCCAUCUUUAGUUAUAUCUCCAUUGUAUAGUUCGAAAGGGUUUGUGAAUAUUCGAUGCGAAGAAAAUUGUAACUAUGGUGAUAAAAGUAUAUUAAUUUCAGUUGGGUUGUGUGGUGCUAAAAAUGUUUAUUAUAUUGAAAAACUUGUUGAAUGUAUAAAUAUAAAAAAUAAUUUAAAACGUGCAUUAGAACAGCAGUUAUAUCUUGAUAAAAAAUAUGAAGACAAUUGUAAUAAAAAUGAAGAAUCAGAUUUUCCAUUUACACCUUGUCACAUCUUUUUUAAAAACGGUUUAGUUCACUAUGAAAAAUACAACUGUAUAAACAAGUUAAAAAUAAACGAAAUAGAUUUUAUAUUAAAUUUGAUACAUAAUAAUGGAUAUAAAAAUAAAAAUAUGAGUUUUUCUAACGAUUUGGUUGAUAUGUUUGAUAUGUCAGGAGAUAUUAAAUAUUUUGAUUUUACUCGAAAUAAAAUAAAAAAAAAAAGAAAUUUUUAUUUAUACAAAUUGGCCCAACAAAAUAAUAAAAAAAUAGACAACACUACUACUACUACUACUACUAGUAGUAUUAGUAGUAGUAAGAAGAUCAUAUGUUAUAACAAAUACAAUUUGAGUGGUGGUAAUAUAAGUAUUAAUCAAGAUUUAGGGAGCAAUAAAAAAAGAGUUUAUUUGCGCACAAAAAAAAAGAACAAAAAAGGGAAAAACGAUGUUAUUAGCAGCAAACAUAGUAGCAGUGGUAGUAGUGGUAGUAGUGGUAGUAGUAAGAGGAAUAACCAUCGAAGUGGAACUAGUCUAUUGAAAAGGCUGGGGAAAAAAUACGUACAUCACAAUACGAAUGCGAAUAAACUCGGUUUAUAUAAAAGAAAAUAUAAAUGUAUUUUAAAACCGUCAAAAUAUAACAAUGAUAAUUUCAACAAUAGUAAUACUAACUGCUAUGUGCAAAACAACGGUGUCGAUACUAAUACUAAUAGUAUUAGUAUAUGUAAAAAAAGAAUAAAAGUAAGUGAUAUUUUUAGUGACCUUGAAAGUGCAGAAGAAGAAAUAGAAACAAAACUUUUAAAUAAAAGAUGGACAAAUAUAAAAAAAAAAAAAGAUUUUAUAAAACAAAAUAAAUUGAAUAAUAUUUUUUAUAAGAAUUAUUACUCUAAUAACUUAACAAAUUAUGAUAGAGAAGACGAAGAAAUUUGUUAUAAACAAAUGUAUAAAGAUGUUUAUUCAGGAUACAAUUUAAGGAAUAAUUUACAUAUAAGUGAACAUAAUGAUUAUAUAAAUUUGGCUACAGUGGAAAACGUGUUUUUUAAUGAGUAUAUCAAGUCAAGUAGUGACAAUGAAAAAAAGAAAAAGAAUAAAAAAAGAGUAGGAAAGGUGAUCAGAUCGAGCAAAAAAAGUAGAUUUUCACUUUCGUUAAAAAGGGGGCAUCAUACUGACACAGAAACUGGUGCAGUACUAGCCCAGAAGAGUAAGUCAACUGGUAGAAUCAAACUAACCGAUGGGACAAAUGGACGAAUCCAAAUUUCAUCGGCACCAAAACUUGAUAAUAACCUUCCUUCACAUUUAUCCAAUUUACAAACAACACAAACUUAUUCAAACAAAAACGAACUAAUUUCAAGCAGGCGCAAAAGUCACACAGAAAUAAACUCAUGUAAAAAAAUAAAAAACGUUAAAAAAGUAACAAAUUCAAAAGAGUUACGACAAAAACGGUUAAAUAAAAACCUACAAGAGUACACGCGAUAUAUGAAUACGUAUUAUAAAUUAAGAAAAUCAAGAAUUCAUUUUACUAAUUUGUUACGUAAUGCUAUGAUGGAUUAUCGAAAUAAAUAUUAUGAGAAGCAAGUAAAUAUGUUGUCAGACCCAACAAUUAAAAUAAGAUACAAUAAAAUAUGGAAAUCUGAUGAUGUAUUUCGUUUUAAUUUUUUCAGAACUAGUGAAUAUGAAACUCUGUUAAAAUGUUUUGAUAUAUAUGUUAAGCCAGAUAUAGUUAUAAAGUAUGUAUUUGAUGUGGAAUAUGACACAAGUACUUGGG
ensembl:lncRNA